rnacentral:rRNA from 1 species
UGGGGAGUAUUGCACAAUGGGGAAACCCGUAGCAUGCAGCGACGCCGCGUGAAGGAAGAAGGCCUUCGGGUUGUAAACUUCUGUCGUACGGGACGAUAAUGACGGUACCGUACAAGAAAGCCACGGCUAACUACGUGCCAGCAGCCGCGGUAAAACGUAGGUGGCAAGCGUUGUCCGGAAUUACUGGGUGUAAAGGGAGCGCAGGCGGACUAGCAAGUUGGAAGUGAAAUCUAUGGGCUCAACCCAUAAAUUGCUUUCAAAACUGCCGGUCUUGAGUAGUGCAGAGGUAGGCGGAAUUCCCGGUGUAGCGGUGGAAUGCGUAGAUAUCGGGAGGAACACCAGUGGCGAAGGCGGCCUACUGGGCACCAACUGACGCUGAGGCUCGAAAGUAUGGGUAGCAAACGAGGUAUUAUGCAUACC